UAAAAAUUAAGUCUAUUGAAUUUUGUGGAUUGGUUAAACAAAAUUGUAUCAUGCCCCUAGGGGUCAUGCACUCCUAUUAAACAAAUACAAACCGUAUGACUAUAUUGAGUGGUAAAAUCCAGUUAUUCCAAUGACGGUACGAACACGUGGGCUAGGCAUACCUUGUCUUAUUAAGGCAAAUGACACAUUAGUAGUAAUAUUUUUCAGUUACUUACAUUGGAGAACAUUUUGGAAACAUUAUGAACAAAUACCGUUCGGUUACUAAACCAAAAAUUCAAAAGUGCUCAACUAGUUUGCGGCUGCGCGAUAAUAACUUAUCAUAAUCAUUCUGAAUAUAAAUUAUGUUGUUCUACAAAAACUUUUUUGAAGUUGCUGAACCGAGGAGAGAUAGGGUGGCGCUAAUAAAGCACGCCGGAGUAAUAAUAAAUAAAUAUAUGCGUGUGCUAUUUCAAUGCUCUUUAAAAAUUAUAGUAAACUACAGUCGAAUAAAAAAAAACAGUGUUAUGUUUUGUUUUCUAAGGCUGGUAACUUCCGGGAGUAAAAGGUCAAGAAUAUCAGUUGUUGGUAUUGAUAAUAUGUCAUUGUUUUUAGGCACCAACGCCUGUCAAGGUGAUCUCGAACACAGUGCAAGAAAAUUAAAGGUCAGAAACUUGCAACAGAUUAUAAUCUGUGGUCGUUGAAUACGGUCCAAGUUGGGAAGACUAAAAUAACUGAAAAGAGCACAUGAAAGCUUAGAGCAACAACUCCAAGGGCGAGUCUUCCUUGAAAGCAAGUGCUGUUGCAGCCGCGCUUUCCCGAACUUCACCUUUCUUUGGGGUGGGAAAUUGGUGUGAAGGAGAUUUUGGUGUCGAAUAUUUCGCGUCGAGUUUAUUGAGCGAAUAUUCCGAGAGCGAACAUCCGGUGGCGUAUAACCGAAGAGAAUAGGAAGAAUAUGGGGGGAAAGCGAAUAAUUUUUGGUGAAACAACGUAGUGGGCAAAAGAAUGUUUGGUGAGCGACGAUUAUUUGGGGAUUUCGGAAAUUUUAUGAGGGGAGAAUCAACUAAAACAGCAAUACACAUUGUGAGCAUAAUGGAUUUAUUCUCCUAAAGAAACGCCCUAAAAAUAUUGAUGCUUUGGUUUCUUCCUUGGGGAAAACAAUUAAAUAAAAGUUUAUUUAAAACCAAAGCCUACAAUAAACGACAAUCAAUCGAAUUAUCUUAAGUGGUACAACUGUUAUGUCUGCAACUGUUAUUAUUUUCAAAUGCUAUCGUAAUGUAGCUCUAUUGCCAAACACUACUGUUGUUAUUAAAAACAUACGUUACUGAUA